CGCCAUCUUGGGAAUCAAAGAUACCAGAGCUUUGGUGUGAAUCGGCUUCAGUCAUGGCAUCCACAUCUACAAGCUGUUCUGCUAUAAAGUGCUCGAAUCGCCAAUGUAGAUGACCCGACCCGAUCUGUCUUCAGGUUCCCCACAAAAAACGAAAGAUGUCGAGAGUGGAUCCAGAAUACUCGUCAACCAGUUCUCCUACAUGGAACUACAGAGUACUUGUCGUCUUUGUUCUGAACACUUCAAACUUGACCAGUUUUCCAACAAGCAAACCAAGAACAGGCUAAAUUGGAAUUGUACAUGACUUUCAUUGGUUAGCUGAUAUGCGAAACACUGCAACCCUGUAUAUCUCGCACACAAAACAAUGUAAAUUAUGUAAAUCUUACCAUGAAUGACAGAAAUAAAAAGUGUUAUCCUUG